CUUUCUCUAUUUUCCACACUUUUUUACAAUAAACAGGUAUUAUGUUUAUCAUCAUAAAAAAGUCAAUUAAAACAAAAAAGUUUAACCAAAAUGUUCAUUUCCCUCGCAUGUAUCAGGCUGCAGGGCCCAAAAGGAGGAGGGUUGGGCAGGGAGUGGAGGCCAUCCUAGUGACUAGGGACGAUUCUGGAGCCAGGGGAGGCCAAAGGGUGGGGUGGGCCGGAGGAUGGGCUGCCAGGCUUGUGCUGCACCGAGGGUCUCUGCUGGGGCAGGCAGAUGGGCUAGGAUGGGCUCUGAGUGUGCACGAAGAUGGUUCCGGAAGCAUAGAACCUCAGUGCAUUCUACUUUAUGAGCUGCACUAAACUGACUGAAAAUGUGGAGGCAAUGCUGAGGCCACAGCACCCAGGUGCCCUGCGACAAGCCUGUCCAUGUUGCAGGAAUUCAUGAUAAACUGCUGGUUCCCCAAAUUCUGGCUGACUUCACUUCUCCUUCUGUCAUUUUCACAGUUGUAAACUUUUGUGUCCUUUUGCUUUUCCAGAAAAGAAUGCCUGCUUUGGUUUUUGAGGGGCUGUGCGAUGAGGGCAAGGGAGGGCACACUGUGUAGUCACCAAGCCCUUUGUGUCUGCUCCUGUGUUUCAUGCCAACAAUAAGCCCCGUGGUCAUCACCCCAUCUCACAGAUGGGGAGAGUGAGGCUCACAGACACUAAGGACUGGUCAAGGUCGCACGGCUAGACACUGUGGGGGAGAUGGGAGCUGAACCCAAGUCUGUCCGACUCUAAGGCAGGGGUGUUUCCCAGCAGGCAGGAUGCCUAGUGCAUAUUCUCUAAAAAACCGCUUUCGACUCGUAAAUAGCUACAGCGAUUUGCAUGCUGCUUCAAUUACCAAAUACCUAGCUGCAAACGUGUGGACAUCUCCUCUCCCCAUGAAUCUGGGGGAGAAGGAAGAGCCGACACACAAAAAGAAAAUGUUGUCAAUCUAAGAAUUUUCAUUUUUUCCAUAAAACUUAAGACGUCCAUCUCAUUUUGAAAAGAGAGGAGUAAACUAAAGCUCUUUAAAAGCAUACAUUUUAAGGCCACAAAUCUCAAUCGCUUCUCUCCCUCUGUCAGCCUUGGCUGUUCCCACAGGACUGGCGUUUCCUCCUCUAGUCCCAGUUCUGUGAUCUUUCUCGGGGUUAAGUGUUUAGUGACCCCCAAAGACGCCGGGGCAGGACUCAGCUGUGUUUCCCGCAACACGGCAGCGUGUCCUGGAUUCGGGAUAACCCAGAGCACUAAGGGUACUGUACUUGUGUCCUUGCCACACCUGUGUUCUGUCCCGUCCCUCCACCUUUCCAACAUGAAAUGCCCUCCACAACCACAUACCGUGAUUGCUUAAGGCCUGGGCUCUGCAGAGUGCCAACGCUGAGGGAGAGAACAUGGCCACGUGGACGACACAGUGAACACAGAGCACAGGCCCUUCGGCCUGCCUCUGGUUUGAAGGGUAAAGAGCCUGAGAGCAACCCAGAGGCUUCACUGGGACCUUGUCUAUCCUGUGCACAGGACAUCUCAGGAAGCCUUGAGACCAAGGGAAAUGACACCAGUCGCCAGUCAGACGAGACACUGGAAACCCAAGAGAAAAUGAGAAAUCUCCAUUUUAAUAUAAAAGGGGUCCCAUGUCUGAUAACUUCAGCUGGAGAAUUACACAGAACAGAUAGGAUACCAGCAUUUAGUAAAAUUCAGUUUAAGAUUAUAAGCAUUUUAAAUAUAAAAAUAAGUCUUUUAAUUAAAGAGAGUAGAGAAGCAGCCCUGGAUGCUCCACGGAACAACUGAACAGUGUAAAAGCAGGGCUGUGUCUGGACACGGUUCCAGAGGCCACGGGGUCCUCAACCUCACAGGAAGCUCGACACUGAGUCUUUUCAACUUGUAAAUAAUGCAGCUGAUCUCCUUCUAGAGCGAGAUCCGUCUGAAGGCAGGAGCGGCGAGCACUGAGGGUGAACCUACCCCCGCGUCGGGCCGCGCCUGGUCGCUCUCUGGCCUUGCCGCAAGGGGGCAGCCUCUGUGCUUCAACUCCAGCUCCUCGACACUCCAGGAGCCCAGGGUGCUGGCCCUCACCUGGGCGCAGCCCCACUCCUGCACAGCUGCAUCUAGUCUUCUGCAUGCCCGUUUCUGCAACAAGAAAAUUUCCCUGAGAUGGCCUCAUAAAGCACACAACACUCAAAUUGAAUUGAAUUCUGAAAACUUCAGCUGCCAAUACAGACCCUGUGGAGCUGGGAAAGUUUAUAGGGUGUUUGAGG
ensembl:lncRNA